rnacentral:rRNA from 1 species
UACGUAGGGGGCGAGCGUUGUCCGGAUUUAUUGGGCGUAAAGAGCGUGUAGGCGGCCAGGUAGGUCUGCUGUGAAAACUCGAGGCUCAACCUCGAGACGUCGGCGGAAACCAUCUGGCUAGAGUCCGGAAGAGGAGAGUGGAAUUCCUGGUGUAGCGGUGAAAUGCGUAGAUAUCAGGAAGAACACCGGUGGCGAAAGCGCUCUGCUAGGCCGCAACUGACACUGAGGGACGAAAGCUAGGGGAGCGAAUGGG